rnacentral:rRNA from 1 species
GACGAACGCUGGCGGCGUGCUUAAUACAUGCAAGUCGAGCGAGGUUACUGUUUCGGAUCCCUUCGGGGUGAAGAAGCUUUAACCUAGCGGCGGACGGGUGAGUAACGCGUGGGUAAUCUACCCCAAAGUCCGGGAUAACAGCGGGAAACCGCUGCUAAUACCGGAUGUCUUUACCUUGGGGCAUCUUGAGGUAAAGAAAGGUAACGCUUUGGGAUGGGCCCGCGUCCCAUUAGCUAGUUGGUGAGGUAACGGCUCACCAAGGCGACGAUGGGUAGCCGGCCUGAGAGGGUGGACGGCCACACUGGGACUGAGACACGGCCCAGACUCCUACGGGAGGCAGCAGUAGGGAAUAUUGCGCAAUAGACGGAAGUCUGACGCAGCGACGCCGCGUGAGCGAUGAAGGUCUUCGGAUCGUAAAGCUCUGUCCUUGGGGAAGAAGGCGAAAGCUUGACGGUACCCAAGAAGAAAGCCCCGGCUAACUACGUGCCAGCAGCCGCGGUAAUACGUAGGGGGCGAGCGUUGUCCGGAAUUACUGGGCGUAAAGGGUGCGUAGGCGGCCCUUUAAGUCGGAUGUGAAAGCCCGCGGCUUAACCGCGGAAUGGCAUUCGAAACUGGAGGGCUUGAGUGUCGGAGAGGGUAGUGGAAUUCCCAGUGUAGCGGUGAAAUGCGUAGAUAUUGGGAGGAACACCAGUGGCGAAGGCGACUACCUGGACGAUAACUGACGCUGAGGCACGAAAGCUAGGGGAGCAAACAGG